rnacentral:tRNA from 1 species
GUGGAGGUAGCUUAGCUGGUAAAGCACUUGUCUUGAGAACAUAAGCAACUGAGUUUGAUACCCAGAAUCCACA